rnacentral:tRNA from 1 species
GCCUUCAUGGUGUAACGGCAGCACAAUCGACGCAUAUUCGAGCGGUCCAGGUUCGAGUCCCGGCGAUGGCA